rnacentral:rRNA from 1 species
GUCCUACGGGACGCAGCAGUAGGGAAUUUUCGUCAAUGGGCGCAAGCCUGAACGAGCAAUGCCGCGUGAACGAGGAAGGUCUUCGGAUCGUAAAGUUCUGUUGAAGGGGAAAAAGAGCGGAGAGAGGAAAUGCUUUCUGAUUGAUAUUACCCUUCGAGGAAGUCACGGCUAACUACGUGCCAGCAGCCGCGGUAAUACGUAGGUGGCGAGCGUUAUCCGGAAUGAUUGGGCGUAAAGGGUGCGUAGGCGGCCUGCUACGUCUGGAGUGAAAGGUACCGGCUCAACCGGUACAGGCUCUGGAAACU